AGCUAAGUGAGCUACUUUAAAAUAGCCCCAGAGCCAACCCAUCUCUGUUGCAAUAGAGUGGGAUAAUUUUUAAGUAGAGGUGAUAAACCUAUCGAACUUAGAGAUAGCUGGUUUUUUAAGAAAAGAUUUUUAGUUCAGCCCUGAGUCUUCUAUUACACAAGAAUUAAACUAAACUCAGGAGUUAUUCAAAUAAGGCACAGCUUAUUUGAAACAGGAUACAACCUAGAAAAAAGGGUAAGACAAAUUUAAUCUCUGACAAGUGGGCCUGAAAGCAGCCACCUUUUAAAAAGCGUCAAAGCUUAACAUUAAUAAUUUUCUUAAUAUCUAAAUUAAUUUCUAACCCUUAUUUACUAUUAAAAAACUCCAUAAAAUUAUGGAAGUUAUUAUGCUAGAACAAGUAACAAGAAAAAGACUUUCUCCAAAAUGUAAGCUUAAGCCACAACAGACAAACUGAUGGCAAUUAACGUUUAUGAGUCACUUGUAGUAACACCAACAGGAAAACUCUACAUGAGUUCUAACGUCA
rnacentral:rRNA from 1 species